rnacentral:rRNA from 1 species
AUUGAACGCUGGCGGCAGGCCUAACACAUGCAAGUCGAACGAGUGGCGGACGGGUGAGUAAUGUAUGGGAACCUGCCUGCUAGAGGGGGAUAACUACUGGAAACGGUGGCUAAUACCGCAUACCAUCGGAUUUGCCGAGAUGGGAUUAGCUAGUUGGUGGGGUAAAGGCUCACCUAGGCGACGAUCCCUAGCUGGUCUGAGAGGAGGACCAGCCACACUGGAACUGAGACACGGCCCAGACUCCUACGGGAGGCAGCAGUGGGGAAUAUUGUACAAUGGGGGAAAGCCUGAUGCAGCCAUGCCGCGUGUAUGAAGAAGGCCUUCGGGUUGUAAAGUACUUUUAGCGGGGAGGCGGUAUCUGCAGAAGAAGCACCGGCUAACUACGUGCCAGCAGCCGCGGUAAUUC